rnacentral:rRNA from 1 species
CCUACGGGAGGCAGCAGUGGGGAAUAUUGCACAAUGGGCGAAAGCCUGAUGCAGCGACGCCGCGUGAGGGAUGACGGCCUUCGGGUUGUAAACCUCUUUCAGUAGGGAAGAAGCGAAAGUGACGGUACCUGCAGAAGAAGCGCCGGCUAACUACGUGCCAGCAGCCGCGGUAAUACGUAGGGCGCAAGCGUUAUCCGGAAUUAUUGGGCGUAAAGAGCUCGUAGGCGGUUUGUCGCGUCUGCCGUGAAAGUCCGGGGCUCAACUCCGGAUCUGCGGUGGGUACGGGCAGACUAGAGUGAUGUAGGGGAGACUGGAAUUCCUGGUGUAGCGGUGAAAUGCGCAGAUAUCAGGAGGAACACCGAUGGCGAAGGCAGGUCUCUGGGCAUUAACUGACGCUGAGGAGCGAAAGCAUGGGGAGCGAACAGGAUUAGAUACCCUGGCAGUCCAUGCCGUAAACGUUGGGCACUAGGUGUGGGGGACAUUCCACGUUUUCCGCGCCGUAGCUAACGCAUUAAGUGCCCCGCCUGGGGAGUACGGCCGCAAGGCUAAAACUCAAAGGAUUGACGG